GAAGUUCGAUAAGCAGUGCGAAUUGCAGAACCGUGAGUCAUCAGAUUUUUGAACGCAACUGGCGCCAGCUGGCUCUCCAGCUGGCAUGCUUGUUUCAGUGUCUUGUUAUCUCCUCACCCAAAUCUUAAUGCUUGAGAUACCCUUCUCUUGCUAAGUUCGAAAGCACUCUACAUUCUGCAGGCAGCCUUGACUUGUCAAGGGUUGCACUCAAUGCAGCAGUCACAUUUCUAAUGUGAACUCAUUGAGAGUAGAAGUAGCGCAGCUUGACUGCCAGUGCUUAGUCACUCAAACUUUACUUGUAUCUGAAAUCAAGCAGGAUCACCCGCUGAACUUAAGC
rnacentral:misc_RNA from 1 species